rnacentral:rRNA from 1 species
AUAUUUGCACAAUGGGCGGAAGCCUGAUGCAGCAACGCCGCGUGCGGGAUGACGCUUCGGGUUGUAAACGCUUUCGCUGUGACGAAGCGUGAGUGACGGUAAUGGGUAAAGAAGCACCGGCUAACUACGUGCCAGCAGCCGCGGUGAUACGUAGGGUGCGAGCGUUGUCCGGAUUUAUUGGGCGUAAAGGGCUCGUAGGUGGUUGAUCGCGUCGGAAGUGUAAUCUUGGGGCUUAACCCUGAGCGUGCUUUCGAUACGGGUUGACUUGAGGAAGGUAGGGGAGAAUGGAAUUCCUGGUGGAGCGGUGGAAUGCGCAGAUAUCAGGAGGAACACCAGUGGCGAAGGCGGUUCUCUGGGCCUUUCCUGACGCUGAGGAGCGAAAGCGUGGGGAGCGAACAGGCUUAGAUACCCUGGUAGUCCACGCUGUAAACGGUGGGUACUAGGUGUGGGGUCCAUUCCACGGGUUCCGCGCCGUAGCUAACGCUUUAAGUACCCCGCCUGGGGAGUACGGCCGCAAGGCUAAAACUCAAAGGAAUUGACGGGGCCCCGCACAAGCGGCGGAGCAUGUGGAUUAAUUCGAUGCAACGCGUAGAACCUUACCUGGGUUUGACAUGGAUCGGGAGUGCUCAGAGAUGGGUGUGCCUCUUUUGGGGUCGGUUCACAGGUGGUGCAUGGCUGUCGUCAGCUCGUGUCGUGAGAUGUUGGGUUAAGUCCCGCAACGAGCGCAACCCUUGUUCACUGUUGCCAGCACGUUAUGGUGGGGACUCAGUGGAGACCGCCGGGGUCAACUCGGAGGAAGGUGGGGAUGACGUCAAGUCAUCAUGCCCCUUAUGUCCAGGGCUUCACGCAUGCUACAAUGGCUGGUACAGAGAGUGGCGAGCCUGUGAGGGUGAGCGAAUCUCGGAAAGCCGGUCUCAGUUCGGAUUGGGGUCUGCAACUCGACCUCAUGAAGUCGGAGUCGCUAGUAAUCGCAGAUCAGCAACGCUGCGGUGAAUGUGUUCCUGAAAU